AAAAGUCAAAGAAUGUAUACAUGUGAGAUUCUGAAGUAGCCGUACAUGAUGAGUAGGAAUUUGAAGUGAAUUAUGGGAAAAGUGAAAUGGUAAAAAAGAAACUGCUAGCGCUACUGUGCAGACUACCAUCAAUCAACAUGAUCAACAAAAUCAAGUAAUCCUUCUGAGUGGAGACACAUAUGAAGUUACCUACAGUUACAGCCAAGGUUUAAUGAAGAAUCAUCUGGAGUCUGGCAGUGAGAGUGACAGUCGGCAGUGGAUACUCACUCCUCUAAGGCACCUGAUCCCACC